rnacentral:rRNA from 1 species
AUGCAAAGAACUUUGAAAAGAGAGUUAAAGAGUACCUGAAAUUGCUGAAAGGGAAGCGAAGGAAACCAGUGCUGUCCCGUACCAUUCUUCUUGUGCUGCUUGCAGCAUGGGCGCUGUGGUGCGGGGUAAGCCAGCAUCGUUUCUUCUCGGAGCAAAUAGCUUGCCAGGAGGCAGCCCAAUUUCUGGGCGAUUACUGGCUUGUGUUGCUCUGGGUGGGAUCGAGGCUAGUCACUUGUGCUCGUGAUGCUGGCGAAAUGGUUUUCUUUACCCCGUCUUGAAACACGGACCAAGGAGUCUAACAUAUGUGCGAGUGAUGGAGUGGCAAACUCCAACGCGUAAUGAAAGUAACAGUGGUAGGACCCUCUUGGGGCACUAUCCGCCGGCCACAAUCCUUCGGGAGAAAGGUCUGAGUGUGAGCAUACAUGUUGGGACCCGAAAGAUGGUGAACUUUGCGUGGGUAGGGUGAAGCCACGGGAAACCGUGGUGGAGGCUCGUAGGGGUUCUGACGUGCAAAUCGAUCUUCAAAUCUGCGUAAAGGGGCGAAAGACUAAUCGAACCAUCUAGUAGCUGGUUCCCUCCGAAAUUUCCCUCAGGAUAGCUGCAAUCAAUUGUCAAUUUUAUCA